AAUAUGCAGUGUGUGCUUGUCACCAUCUGUUUAUACCAGUCACUUCAGUGAGCCUGUAUCAUGAUUACAAGGAACUAGCCAGCACAUAUAUGGAACUCUUGGGCCAGUGACAGGAUCACCAACUCUGUCACAGUGUGCCAAGCCUCAACUGCUCUACAAGACCUCUUCUAGUCUUCACCUCACUACCUGAUUCCCAUUUAUACACGAACUUUGGCUGCCAGCAUGAAGUAUAUUCUUGAUCACCACUGGAAAACAGCUUCUGUGUGGUAAUCUCAGGGUAUAAUCAUCCUAAUGAUGCUGGUCUUUUCUUAAUCACAACCUAUUACUCAGCCUCAACUUUCCAGCAACCAUUGUCCCAGCAAUUUUUUCCUAUAGUGUGUCUCCCUCCCUCCCUGCUCCCUUUCUCUGUUUGCAUGUUUCCAGUGGGGAGGGGCAUCUAGAAAGUCC
rnacentral:lncRNA from 1 species